GGAGACGUGGCCGAGAGGCUGAAGGCACUCGUUUGCUAAAUGAGCAGACCCCCAAAAGGGUCUCGAGGGUUCGAAUCCCUCCGUCUCCGCCA
rnacentral:tRNA from 26 species